AGAGUUUGAUCCUGGCUCAGAACGAACGCUGGCGGCAUGCCUAAUACAUGCAAGUCGAACGAGAUCUUCGGAUCUAGUGGCGCACGGGUGCGUAACGCGUGGGAAUCUGCCCUUGGGUUCGGAAUAACUUCGGGAAACUGAAGCUAAUACCGGAUGAUGACGAAAGUCCAAAGAUUUAUCGCCCAGGGAUGAGCCCGCGUAGGAUUAGCUAGUUGGUGGGGUAAAGGCCUACCAAGGCGACGAUCCUUAGCUGGUCUGAGAGGAUGAUCAGCCACACUGGGACUGAGACACGGCCCAGACUCCUACGGGAGGCAGCAGUAGGGAAUAUUGGACAAUGGGGGCAACCCUGAUCCAGCAAUGCCGCGUGAGUGAUGAAGGCCUUAGGGUUGUAAAGCUCUUUUACCCGGGAUGAUAAUGACAGUACCGGGAGAAUAAGCUCCGGCUAACUCCGUGCCAGCAGCCGCGGUAAUACGGAGGGAGCUAGCGUUGUUCGGAAUUACUGGGCGUAAAGCGCACGUAGGCGGCGAUUUAAGUCAGAGGUGAAAGCCCGGGGCUCAACCCCGGAACUGCCUUUGAGACUGGAUUGCUAGAGUGCAGGAGAGGGCAAUGGAAUUCCAUGUGUAGCGGUAAAAUGCGUAGAUAUAUGGAGGAACACCAGUGGCGAAGGCGGUUGCCUGGCCUGUAACUGACGCUGAAGCACGAAAGCGUGGGGAGCAAAUAGGAUUAGAUACCCUAGUAGUCCACGCCGUAAACGAUGAAUACUAAGUGUUGGAGAAAUUCAGUGCUGCAGUUAACGCAAUAAGUAUUCCGCCUGGGGAGUAUGCACGCAAGUGUGAAACUCAAAGGAAUUGACGGGACCCCGCACAAGCGGUGGAUUAUGUUGUUUAAUUCGACGCAACGCGAAGAACCUUACCAGGCCUUGACAUACUCAGCAAAACCCUAGAGAUAGGGUGGAGGUUAUCUGGGAUACAGGUGGUGCAUGGUUGUCGUCAGCUCGUGUCGUGAGAUGUUGGGUUAAGUCCCGCAACGAGCGCAACCCUUGUCUUUAGUUACCAUCAUUCAGUUGGGGACUCUAGAGAGACUGCCGGUGAUAAACCGGAGGAAGGUGGGGAUGACGUCAAAUCAUCAUGCCCCUUAUGGCCUGGGCUACAAACGUAAUACAAUGGCGUAUACAAAGGGAUGCGAAAGGGUGACCUGGAGCAAAACUCACAAAGUACGUCUCAGUUCAGAUUGGAGUCUGCAACUCGACUCCAUGAAGGCGGAAUCGCUAGUAAUCGCGGAUCAGCAUGCCGCGGUGAAUACGAUCUCGAACCUUCCACACACCGCCCCUCAAA
rnacentral:rRNA from 1 species